AUAACAAACUGAUCCGCCCAGCGACCAAUCGUUCUGAGCUGGUGACAGUUCAGCGGAUGGUGUCACUGGCCCAGCUCAUCAGUGUGCACGAGAGAGAGCAGGUUAUGACCACCAACGUAUGGCUCACACAGAUCCUCUCAAGCUCUGUCAGGUUGGAUGAGGAGCGUCGCUGAACAGCUAUUGUCAGGUCUCUCCAGAGAUGUUGGAUCGGG